GAGAGCCGGAUGACACGGAAAUCGGUCAAGUCCGGUUCGGUGGGGGGCGGUUGGAAAAGCAGGUCAUGCUGCUCGCUGGCCGCCUACCCGAC
rfam:Anaerolineae bacterium SG8_19 WOR_8-12_162558, whole genome shotgun sequence.